GCCUAGCUUGCUCACCAAGCAUAAUUACACCGCCAGGGAGCUUCCUUGGUCCCCUCAGGCCCUGGCCUGGCCAUCCCCAGCUGCACAUUCGCGAGGCUCCUGGGCGCCUGCAGGGCCGAGGGCUGAACACAGGACUAACGCAGACAUGGAAGCCAGAACAGCAUACCAUGGCAGCCUGGAUUUCAUUGAUCAGCAUCUCUGACUGAUGGAAGAGACGUGGAGAGCAGCUGCUUUAGGAAAGAGCCAGGGAUUGGACAGCCUGAGCCUUCCCAGUGCCAGAGUACGUGUAUCAGCCAUUUCUGGUUGGUCAGGACCCCCAGUGGGACUGGGAGAAGCCUGAAGAGUUGUUGAGGAACUGAAGCCCACUUUGAGUAAAUACUCCAGGAGACAAGUGCGUCCCCCAAGCUGAAUUCUUCCAAGCUGGGGAAUUUAGUUAACUUCCAACAACAAGCUCUGCCUCCUGGGAGCUUGGCCCAGCUGCACAGGUGAGUCAAGCAAUUAGCAUAGGGCAAUUAGGGACACUCCUCAUUUGGUGGGACCCCUGCGGAGCAGAUCUGGUGGGAAAAGCAAAAGAGGCUCCCCGAAAACAG
rnacentral:lncRNA from 1 species